rnacentral:rRNA from 1 species
UGCCAGCAGCCGCGGUAAUACGUAGGGGGCGAGCGUUGUCCGGAAUUACUGGGCGUAAAGAGCACGUAGGCGGUUCGUUAAGUCGGCUGUGAAAUCCCUCGGCCCAACCGAGGGGGGUCAGCCGAUACUGGCGGGCUUGAGGGAGGCAGGGGGAAGCGGAAUUCCCGGAGUAGUGGUGAAAUGCGUAGAUACCGGGAGGAACACCAGUGGCGAAGGCGGCUUCCUGGGCUUUUCCUGACGCUGAGGUGCGAAGGCGUGGGGAGCGAACCGGAUUAGAUACCCGGGUAGUCCACGCGGUAAACGAUGGACACUAGGUGUUGGGGGUAUCGACCCCUCCAGCGCCGUAGCUAACGCGAUAAGUGUCCCGCCUGGGGAGUACGGCCGCAAGGCUAAAACUCAAAGGAAUUGACGGGGGCCCGCACA